GGCUCAGGAUGAACGCUAGCGGCAGGCUUAACACAUGCAAGUCGAGGGGUAUGCUGAUUUAUCGGCAGAGACCGGCGCACGGGUGCGUAACGCGUAUGCAAUCUACCUUUCACAGAGGGAUAGCCCAGAGAAAUUUGGAUUAAUACCUCAUAGUAUAGCAGUUUCGCAUGAAACCACUAUUAAAGUUCCAACGGUAAAAGAUGGGCAUGCGUCCUAUUAGCUAGAUGGUAAGGUAACGGCUUACCAUGGCUACGAUAGGUAGGGGUCCUGAGAGGGAGAUCCCCCACACUGGUACUGAGACACGGACCAGACUCCUACGGGAGGCAGCAGUGAGGAAUAUUGGACAAUGGGCGCAAGCCUGAUCCAGCCAUGCCGCGUGCAGGAAGAAGCACCUAUGGUGUGUAAACUGCUUUUGUACGGGAAGAAACACUCCUACGUGUAGGAGCUUGACGGUACCGUAAGAAUAAGGAUCGGCUAACUCCGUG
rnacentral:rRNA from 1 species